rnacentral:tRNA from 1 species
GAGAGAUGGCUGAGUGGUUGAUAGCCCCGRUCUUGAAAACCGGUAAAUUU